rnacentral:tRNA from 1 species
GGCUUGUGGCUCAGUGGUAGAGCAUUCGCCUAGCAUGUGUGAGGCCCUGGGUUCAAUUCUCAGCACCA